rnacentral:rRNA from 1 species
ACGGGGGGGACCGGCGUUAUUCGUAUGAAUUUGGCGUAAAGGGUACGUAGACGAACUUAAGAACACUUUAAUUGAAAAUUUAUACCCUAAAGUAUAGAAUUAAUAUUGUAACCUUAAGGAUAGAGUAAUGAUCAAGUUAAUGGUAUUGUCAGUGUAACGGGGUUAAAUCCAACCAUACUGAUAGGAACGCCGAUGGUGAAGACGGUUUUCUAGGUUAUUACUGACGUUCAGGUACGGAGGUGUGGGUAUUCAACGGGA